rnacentral:lncRNA from 1 species
CAAAAUUCUAAGAGGCUUCAACAUAUGAACAGCAGCUUUUCAGUGAAACCCUUUGAAAAACAAAACUGAUGUUGCAAAAGGAUUUUAUUCAUCUUUCUUUUGGUUGCUGAGGGUGAACAAUACAUAAAAUAAUAAGAAGAGGAGGAAGAAGGUGAUACCAAGCAUUUCAACACUGUCUGCUGAGAACGAUUUAGGUGAAGAGAUUGUGAUGAAGAUGAAUAACAUGAGUAGUCCUUUGACAAGUGGCACACCAAGCACUGAAAGAAAAGUCCAACGUUGGUGAAGGCAUAUGGAAGAUCUAGACUAUGUCCUAAUUAUUCUAGACCAGUGAGACUUACUAAAUCUAAAAGUUAUACAAAAAGUGAAGAUAGGCCAAGGAAGAGCCUCUGAUCUUCUCCAGCCUUGUCAUCUACUUGCCCAUUUAGGCAAGACUCUCAAUGUACAUGAAUCACUCACUGCCUUCAUUUAAUUUAGAUACCCUACUAGUACAUAACCUAGAUGUUGCAAGGAAUAUUCCAUUCACUGAUGGAAAUAGAGCAGCAAAGAAAGCAAGCAAACGGUGCUCAAGAUCCACCAUAUAUACCUCAUUGUCUAAGUGGGAGCCCAGGGUUCUGACUCUACCUGUUAAACAGAUGAAGAUAUCUGUCAUGAGUUGGAAGGAGCUGCAUCCUCCCACUUUGGGGAAUAAAGAAUUUGAUCUCAGCUCAACAAGCCUGGAAAGUUCUGCCUUACCUUAGAAGGAUCCUUGUCAAAGUUUGCCUUACCUGAGAAAUGAGAAGUAGCAUCUUCCCGCAACAUGAAUAAAUACAAAUAACUUCUAGAAUUCUGCAAUGGAGGUUCUCAUCUCAAGUCGCUUAACAUGUGAUUGUCUCAUCCAUGAUGAGGAAGUCAUGACGGGCUGGACAGCAGGCAAUUCAUAUCUCAGUGCUCCAUGUUUUGUGGCAAUCUGUUCUUACCUUUUCUAAAUUUUGAAAUAAGAAAUUUUAAAUGACCUGAAACACAAUUUUUGAAGUCAAGCCAGUCUACAGAAAAUGCAUAUUUUGCAUCCUCUUUUCAAGUCAGACAAGGCAAUCUUGCAUCUCAGCAUCAGCCUCUUGCCUUCAUACAUCUUACCUCAGUUCAAGGGGAUAUUUAUCUAAAAAUAACAAAUCUAAACCACAGGAAAAUUCAUGUGCCCAAAGUAUGCAAAUCCCUGCUGACUAAUAAAUCAACAACUUAUGUCACAAAGUCCAAUAGUUACAAUGACCAGAAGUGUUAUACUUAUGGCAUCUUGGAUAAGGGAGGCACUGGAGGACAGAAGGUCAUUCCUGCAGACAGAGAGCCAGCUACUUUACAAGGAGCUUCAGAUUCUUUAAGAUCAGAAUGACACUGUCCAAAUCCAGAUUCAAUCACUGUUUCAUAUAUUAGUCUUAGUGUAGAAGGGACUUGAAAGCUUCUUGGAAAAUGAAGAUGAUCAUGCAAUAACAAUAACAGACUUUGUGGAUUAUCAUCCAAUUGCCUUUUGGAAGCUGGUGUGGUGCUUUAGACAUUUUAACUUGUGCAGUCGCUUAGCAGGAUUGUUUUUUUUUUUUCUGAGCAUUGUACCAGGUAUUCAAAGAUUCUCCAUCAUUAUAUGUCUGAAGGUGAUAAAUACAUUUUAGUAUGCAUGUUUUAGGGAAUAUAAAACUACAUCUGGAUCUGGGACACCCUUGAACAUCCUCUGGAAUGUCCACACACAAAAUGACCCAAUGGUCUCUUUAUUGCAAAAAAGUGAUAAUUUACUUAACCAGGAACUACUGAAAAGAAUGAGGCAUUUAGAGACAUUGAAUAAGUAUCUGCAUUUUAAGACAUAGCAGAGGUAGUGUAGAGAAAUAUGAAUCCUUUCACUUUUGGAUCUGGGAAGAGAAAAUAUCGACAUAAGAUGCUUUUGAUAUAGAUUAUAAGAUGGCUUAGGAUCACCGUACCAUGAUCAUAUCACAGUUAAGCAAGAAUCUAUGCAACUGUGAUGGAUCGCCCAGGAACUACAGGGGUGGUAGAGUGCUGAAAAACCUUUGGA